rnacentral:rRNA from 1 species
AUCCGUCGCAUGCUGUCGGAAGGAUCAUUA